AAUGAAGUGACAUGAAGGAUCUCCUAAUAGUCGGAAUAAUUGUUGGAAACGGCAACUAAUACCCUAUACGCCCUACGGGGGAAAAAUUUAUUGCUAUUAGAUGAGCCUAUAUUAGAUUAGCUAGUUGGUGGAGUAAUAGCCUACCAAGGCAAUGAUCUAUAGCUGAUCUGAGAGGAUGAUCAGCCACACUGGAACUGAGAUACGGUCCAGACUUCUACGGGAGGCAGCAGUGGGGAAUAUUGGACAAUGGGCGAAAGCCUGAUCCAGCCAUGUCGCAUGAGUGAAGAAGGCCUUUGGGUUGUAAAGUCUUUUAGUGAGGAAGAUAAUGACGGUACUCACAGAAGAAGUCCUGGCUAACUCCGUGCCAGCAGCCGCGGUAAUACGGAGAGGGCUAGCGUUAUUCGGAAUUAUUGGGCGUAAAGGGCGCGUAGGCUGAUUAAUAAGUUAAAAGUGAAAUCCCGAGGCUUAACCUUGGAAUUGCUUUUAAAACUAUUAAUCUAGAGAUUGAAAGAGGAUAGAGGAAUUCCUGAUGUAGAGGUAAAAUUCGUAAAUAUUAGGAGGAACACCAGUGGCGAAGGCGUCUAUCUGGUUCAAAUCUGACGCUGAGGCGCGAAGGCGUGGGGAGCAAACAGGAUUAGAUACCCUGGUAGUCCACGCUGUAAACGAUGAAUGUUAAAUAUGGGAAGUUUACUUUCUGUAUUACAGCUAACGCGUUAAACAUUCCGCCUGGGGACUACGGUCGCAAGAUUAAAACUCAAAGGAAUUGACGGGGACCCGCACAAGCGGUGGAGCAUGGGUUAAUCAGCAACUUGAACCUCU
rnacentral:rRNA from 1 species